rnacentral:rRNA from 1 species
GAUCCUGGCUCAGGACGAACGCUGGCGGCGUGCUUAACACAUGCAAGUCGAACGGAGCACCCCUGAAUGAGGUUUCGGCCAAAGGAAGGGAAUGCUUAGUGGCGGACUGGUGAGUAACGCGUGAGGAACCUGCCUUUCAGAGGGGGACAACAGUUGGAAACGACUGCUAAUACCGCAUGACACAUGAAUGGGGCAUCCCAUUGAUGUCAAAGAUUUAUCGCUGAAAGAUGGCCUCGCG